CCUACGGGAGGCAGCAGUGGGGAAUUGUUCACAAUGGGCGCAAGCCUGAUGACGCAACGCCGCGUGGAGGAUGAAGGUCUUCGGAUUGUAAACUCCUGUUGCUCGGGACGCGGUACCGGGUGAGGAAGCCCCGGCUAACUCUGUGCCAGCAGCCGCGGUAAUACAGAGGGGGCAAGCGUUGUUCGGAAUUACUGGGCGUAAAGGGCGCGUAGGCGGCCUGUUAAGUCGAACGUGAAAUCCCCGGGCUCAACCCGGGAACUGCGUCCGAUACUGGCAGGCUUGAAUCCGGGAGAGGGAUGUGGAAUUCCAGGUGUAGCGGUGAAAUGCGUAGAUAUCUGGAGGAACACCGGUGGCGAAGGCGGCAUCCUGGACCGGAUUGACGCUGAGGCGCGAAAGCCAGGGGAGCAAACGGGAUUAGAUACCCUUGUAGUC
rnacentral:rRNA from 1 species